UACGUAGGUGGCAAGCGUUGUCCGGAAUUAUUGGGCGUAAAGCGUACGUAGGCGGUUUGUUAAGUCAGGGGUUAAAGACCGAGGCUCAACCUCGGGGAUGCCCUUGAUACUGGCAGGCUUGAGGACGGCAGAGGAAAGUGGAAUUCCCAGUGUAGCGGUGAAAUGCGUAGAUAUUGGGAGGAACACCAGUGGCGAAAGCGACUUUCUGGGCCGUUCCUGACGCUGAGGUACGAAAGCGUGGGGAGCAAACAGG
rnacentral:rRNA from 1 species